GAGGCCGGGAGCCUCAUACUGUUCAGGUCCCUGCUGCCAAGAGUCAGAUAGGCCGCUCCCCUGAGGAUCCCAGGUUUGGGCCCAGCACAGCCGAAAGACCCUCUCUUGUAGCCUGGAGUAAUUUCCACACAGGCCACAGAGACUUCACACAUUCCAGAACCAGGCAGAUUUUCAGAAAUGGGAGCUGCUAUUGGCUGGUGCAUCAUCUCAUGUCUCUCCGACCCACGCAAGCUGAACAGCCUCCAGCCUCAUUGGUGACACCCUGCUGGCAUUGAGGGCCAAGACAGAAUGGUUCUGAGCUGCCUCUGCAUGCCUGAAGACCUCAGCCUGCCGCCCGCUGCCCCAGUAACUCAGGGGGUCCCCAGCCCUCAGCAGCACACCUGCCCUGUUCCUCCACUUGGACUCCUCAUCAAGGGUCCUUGUCCACCCCUCAUGCUGACCCCCUUGCCAUGAGUGUUGCAACGUCCACACCACAGUGCUGUCCCCACAUGCUCCCGCAGUACCCUAGGUCCCUCCAAGAGCCCCACCCCCACACUCUGGCUCUACCUCUGUAUCCACCUGGCUUCUAAACCGGAGUCCUCCCCACAUCCAUUCAGGCCCCAGGUGUCCCAGGGGACUCACCAGGUGGUGAACUUCUACAAAUCCCCAUUGGGACCCCCGGAUAACUGAGUUGAAUAUUAUUUUACAGAUAAUGAAACUGAAACAAUUUUUUUUUCUUUUGAGACAGGGUCUCGCUCAGCCUCAAACUCCUGGGCUCAAGCACUCCUCCUGCCUCAGCCUCCCAAGUAGUUAAGACCACAGGCGUGCACCACCAUGCCCAGCUAAUUGUUUUUAUUUUUUGUAGAGAUGGGGUCUCACCUUGCUGGUCCCAAACUCCUGGGCUCAAGUAAUCCUCCCACCUCAGCUUCCCAAAGUGCUGAGAUCACAGGUGUGAACCACUGUGACCGGCUGGAAGCAAUAUUUUAAAACCUGGAAUUCAAAUAACAGGGCACCAGCUGUGGAAUAUACACCUACGCAAGAGGAAUGGCAAGAGAAGAGAUCAUCCCGACCCCGUUGGUGGGCUGGAUGGAGCAACUUCCGCAGGAACGAGGCACCUCGGAGGCCUCUACUGGCUGAGAGCAGCAUCCUGACCAGACAGCAAGCCCCAGAGGGUCUGGGGGGAUCCAAACCCACCCCUGCACAGGACUUCAGCCUGAAACCAAGGCAGGCAUGAAGAGAAGCCGAUUUGGGGCUGCAGUCUAAGUGCCUUUACCUGACAGCUCCACAUGAAGAGACCGGCCAGGGCUCUUUGCUCCUGGCCAGGAGGCCCCAGGAGGGAAGGAUUCCCUGCAUCCCAGGGAUCACAAGUCAGGGAGGCCCUCAGUGAACAUUAACUAUGAUGACGACGUAAACAUCAUGUCUCAAAGGCACUAGCUGAGACUCCAAGGAUAAAUGAAGGUUGGUGAGCAGUGGGGAAUGGGUGGCUGGUGCUCUGAGCUGUGCUUGCCCAGCGCUGAGGCCUUGGACUGGCCCCUCACCUCCCUGCCUUCACUUCCUCCCACUGGAUUCCGCAUCCUCCAGAUCCCAGUCUGGGUGUGCCAUGGCUUUCCUAGGAACCUCCCUCGGGCCUGCUCCAUCAGGGAUGCAGUGGGCGGAACUACCAAUCAUGGCUGCAGUCUGGCUGCAGGGGGCCUGGCAAGGUGCCCUGAGCUCCCCUGGGCAGGUGAGUGAAAACCUGCCGGCGGGGGCUGCAGCCUCAUGCGUUUGUGAUCACAACCAACUCAGGCAGUUUUUGGUUUCACGUUUUCCUUCAUUUUCCCUUGAGGGGCACCUCAUACUGGGAAUCCCAACCCCUUUGCCAGGAGCUCUCACGCAAGGAAGGGCUCUGGGCAGUUCUGCUCUUAGAGCUGGGCCCUGCCCGGCCCACAGCACCAGGCUGGGAGUUACUGCAGGUUGGGACUCCAUCUGAUCCGCUCCAGAGAACUCAGCAAAUGCUGGGCUGGUGCUCUACAUGACACACUUGAAGUUUGUAAUUCAUUUCCAAAGUAACAUAUACUCAUUAAAGAAAAUUUGGAAAAUGCAUAAAAGCAAAAAUGUAAUAUCACAUAAGAAGCAUCACCUAUAAUUCCACCAGCUAUAGAUGUCUGCUUCUUACAUUCUGGGAUCUUUUCUUUCAGGUGUUUCUAUGCCUCUAUACUUUAAAAACAAACAAAUAAACGAACACCAAAGCGGAUUAUAUUAAGCACUGUUUUGAUACCUGCUAAGCCGAGGCAGCUC
rnacentral:lncRNA from 10 species